rnacentral:rRNA from 1 species
GACGUAGGAUGCGAGCGUUGUCCGGAAUUAUUGGGCGUAAAGGGAGCGUAGGCGGUCGAUUAAGUUUGGUCUUAAAGACCGGGGCUCAACCCCGGGACUGGACCGAAUACUGGUCGACUAGAGGACGGUAGAGGAAGGUGGAAUUCCCAGUGUAGCGGUGAAAUGCGCAGAUAUCGGGAGGAACACCCAUAGCGAAGGCAGCUUGCUGGGACGUUACUGACGCUAAGGCGCGAAAGCGUGGGGAGCGAACAGG